rnacentral:rRNA from 1 species
CCUACGGGUGGCAGCAGUGAGGAAUAUUGGUCAAUGGGCGAGAGCCUGAACCAGCCAAGUCGCGUGAAGGAUGACGGCCCUACGGGUUGUAAACUUCUUUUGUCAGGGAGCAAUUGAGUCCACGUGUGGUCUUAGCGAGAGUACCUGAAGAAAAAGCAUCGGCUAACUCCGUGCCAGCAGCCGCGGUAAUACGGAGGAUCCGAGCGUUAUCCGGAUUUAUUGGGUUUAAAGGGAGCGUAGAUGGGUUGUUAAGUCAGUUGUGAAAGUUUGCGGCUCAACCGUAAAAUUGCAAUUGAUACUGGCAGCCUUGAGUACAGUUGAGGUAGGCGGAAUUCGUGGUGUAGCGGUGAAAUGCUUAGAUAUCACGAAGAACUCCGAUUGCGAAGGCAGCCUACUAAACUGCCACUGACAUUGAUGCUCGAAAGUGUGGGUAUCAAACAGGAUUAGAUACCCUUGUAGUC